CCUACGGGAGGCAGCAGUGAGGAAUAUUGGUCAAUGGCCGUAAGGCUGAACCAGCCAAGUCGCGUGAAGGAAGAAGGAUCUAUGGUUUGUAAACUUCUUUUAUAGGGGAAUAAAGGUAUCCACGUGUGGAUAUUUGCAUGUACCCUAUGAAUAAGCAUCGGCUAACUCCGUGCCAGCAGCCGCGGUAAUACGGAGGAUGCGAGCGUUAUCCGGAUUUAUUGGGUUUAAAGGGUGCGUAGGUUGUUUUUUAAGUCAGCGGUGAAAGUUUGUGGCUCAACCAUAAAAUUGCCGUUGAAACUGGAAGACGUGAGUGUGUUUGAGGUAGGCGGAAUGCGUGGUGUAGCGGUGAAAUGCAUAGAUAUCACGCAGAACUCCGAUUGCGAAGGCAGCUUACUAGGCCAUAACUGACACUGAAGCACGAAAGCGUGGGGAUCAAACAGGAUUAGAUACCCUAGUAGUC
rnacentral:rRNA from 1 species